rnacentral:tRNA from 1 species
GUGCCUGUAGCUCAGCUGGAUAGAGUGACUGGCUACGAACCAGUAGGUCGGGGGUUCGAGUCCCUCCAGGCACGCCA